rnacentral:misc_RNA from 1 species
GAUGAAGAACGUAGCGAAAUGCGACAAGUAAUGUGAAUUGCAGAAUUCCGUGAAUCAUCGAAUCUUUGAACGCACAUUGCGCCCUCUGGUAUUCUGGAGGGCAUGCCUGUCCGAGCGUCAUUUCAACCCUCAAGCUCUGCUUGGUGUUGGGCCCUGCCCGCUGCGGCCGGCCCUAAAGACAGUGGCGGUGCCGCCUGGCCCUGAGCGUAGUACAUCUCUCGCUCCAGUGCCCGGUGGUAGCCUGCCAGAACCCCAACUCUCGUGGUUGACCUCGGAUCAGGUAGGGAUACCCGCUGAACUUAAGCAUAUCAAUAAGCGGAGG